CUACGGGAGGCUGCAGUGAGGAAUAUUGCACAAUGGGGGGAACCCUGAUGCAGCAACGCCGCGUGGAGGAUGACGCAUUUCGGUGUGUAAACUCCUUUUAUAUGUCAAGAAAAUGACGGUAGCAUAUGAAUAAGCACCGGCUAACUCCGUGCCAGCAGCCGCGGUAAUACGGAGGGUGCAAGCGUUACUCGGAAUCACUGGGCGUAAAGGACGCGUGGGCGGGUUGGAAAGUCAGGUGUGAAAUCCUACAGCUUAACUGUAGAACUGCACUUGAAACUUCUAAUCUAGAGUAUGGGAGGGGGAGAUGGAAUUAGUGGUGUAGAGGUAAAAUCCGUAGAUAUCACUAGGAAUACCUAAAGCGAAGGCGAUCUCCUGGAACAUUACUGACGCUAAGGCGUGAAAGCGUGGGGAGCAAACAGGAUUAGAUACCCCGGUAGUC
rnacentral:rRNA from 1 species